rnacentral:siRNA from 1 species
UAGAUGUGCUUGAAACUCGGAU